rnacentral:rRNA from 1 species
UUCCAGACUCCUACGGGAGGCAGCAGUGGGGGAUAUUGCACAAUGGGGGGAACCCUGAUGCAGCGACGCCGCGUGGGUGAAGAAGCGCCUCGGCGCGUAAAGCCCUGUCAGCAGGGAAGAAAAUGACGGUACCUGAAGAAGAAGCCCCGGCUAACUACGUGCCAGCAGCCGCGGUAAUACGUAGGGGGCAAGCGUUAUCCGGAUUCACUGGGUGUAAAGGGAGCGUAGACGGCGACGCAAGUCUGGAGUGAAAGCCCGGGGCCCAACCCCGGGACUGCUUUGGAAACUGUGUAACUUGAGUACAGGAGGGGCAGGCGGAAUUCCUGGUGUAGCGGUGAAAUGCGUAGAUAUCAGGAGGAACACCGGCGGCGAAGGCGGCCUGCUGGACUGAAACUGACGUUGCGGCUCGAAAGCGUGGGGAGCAAACAGGAUUAGAUACCCCAGUAC